rnacentral:rRNA from 1 species
UGCAUAUCCAAUAAGCGGAGGAAAAGAAACCAACAGGGAUUGCCCUAGUAACGGCGAGUGAAGCGGCAACAGCUCAAAUUUGAAAGCUAGCCUUCGGGUUCGCAUUGUAAUUUGUAGAGGAUGAUUUGGGGAAGCCGCCUGUCUAAGUUCCUUGGAACAGGACGUCAUAGAGGGUGAGAAUCCCGUAUGUGACAGGAAAUGGCACCCUAUGUAAAUCUCCUUCGACGAGUCGAGUUGUUUGGGAAUGCAGCUCUAAAUGGGAGGUAAAUUUCUUCUAAAGCUAAAUAUUGGCGAGAGACCGAUAGCGCACAAGUAGAGUGAUCGAAAGAUGAAAAGCACUUUGGAAAGAGAGUUAAAAAGCACGUGAAAUUGUUGAAAGGGAAGCGCUUGCAAUCAGACUUGUUUAAACUGUUCGGCCGGUCUUCUGACCGGUUUACUCAGUUUGGACAGGCCAGCAUCAGUUUCGGCGGCCGGAUAAAGGCUCUGGGAAUGUGGCCUCCACUUCGGUGGAGGUGUUAUAGCCCAGGGUGUAAUACGGCCAGCCGGGACUGAGGUCCGCGCUUCGGCUAGGAUGCUGGCGUAAUGGUUGUAAGCGACCCGUCUUGAACACCGGACCA